UGGGGAAUAUUGGACAAUGGGCGAAAGCCUGAUCCAGCCAUGCCGCGUGUGUGAAGAAGGUCUUCGGAGUGUAAAGCACUUUAAGUUGGGAGGAAGGGCAGUAAGCGAAUACCUUGCUGUUUUGACGUUACCGACAGAAUAAGCACCGGCUAACUCUGUGCCAGCAGCCGCGGUAAUACAGAGGGUGCAAGCGUUAAUCGGAAUUACUGGGCGUAAAGCGCGCGUAGGUGGUUCGUUAAGUUGAAUGUGAAAGCCCCGGGCUCAACCUGGGAACUGCAUCCAAAACUGGCGAGCUAGAGUAGGGCAGAGGGUGGUGGAAUUUCCUGUGUAGCGGUGAAAUGCGUAGAUAUAGGAAGGAACACCAGUGGCGAAGGCGACCACCUGGGCUCAUACUGACACUGAGGUGCGAAAGCGUGGGGAGCAAACAGG
rnacentral:rRNA from 1 species